rnacentral:lncRNA from 1 species
UUUAAUGAGCCAUCCACUGUAAAAUAUAAAGAGGAUAAUAAGGCUUUCUCUCUCUCUCUCUUUUUUUUAGAAAGUGAUUUAGCAGCUAUGGAUAAGUGUCGUGUGGAGUGAAGAUCCUGGAUUCUGCUGCCAGACUGUGUGUUUGGAUCCCUGCUUAUCAGUCUGGCAUCUGUGCUUCCCAAACAGUCAUCCUUAUGUCAUCUGGUCCUCUGCCCUUUUGAAACCAGAUCUCAGAUUGAUCCAGUAGGAGAAUGCCUGUGACGUGAGCCAGGUGCUGGUCUCGGUGGGCCAGGGACAUUGCCAGGAAGCUCCCUACUGGAACACUUCCUCACCAGACACCACCCAGGCCUGAGGGGAGGCCACCCUCAGACUUUAAAACAGGAAGGCAAAAAUAAGGGUCAAAAGAAGUCUGAUAUCAUUCAGAUUCUCCCUGUCACGAGACUGAUGCCAACUCAGUCACCUCAAGCAGGUGAGACACUCUUUAACAGCAUCUCCAGGGGAGGGCAGUGCACCUCAGCCUUUGUAACUUAUG